GCCUACGGGGGGCAGCAGUGAGGAAUAUUGGUCAAUGGGCGGGAGCCUGAACCAGCCAAGUCGCGUGAGGGAAGACGGUCCUACGGAUUGUAAACCUCUUUUGCCGGGGAGCAACGGGGUCCUUGCGAGGUCCCAAUGAGAGUACCCGGGGAAAAAGCAUCGGCUAACUCCGUGCCAGCAGCCGCGGUAAUACGGAGGGGGCAAGCGUUAUCCGGAUUUACUGGGUGUAAAGGGAGCGUAGACGGCAGAGCAAGUCUGAAGUGAAAGCACGCGGCCCAACUGCGGG
rnacentral:rRNA from 1 species